rnacentral:rRNA from 1 species
AGUGAACGCUGGCGGCAUGCCUAACACAUGCAAGUCGAACGAUCUUUGGCAGUUUAUCGUCAGAGGUAGUGGCAAACGGGUGAGUAAUACGUGGACAAUCUUCCCUCGAGCGGGGGGAUAACUCCGGGAAACCGGAGCUAAUACCGCGUGAGACCACGUCCUGGCAUCGGGAUGGGGUUAAAGCUCCGCAAGGGGCACUUGAGGAGGGGUUCACGGCCUAUCAGCUAGUUGGCGGGGUUAAAGCCCACCAAGGCGACGACGGGUAACCGGUCUGAAAGGACGACCGGUCACAAUGGCACUGAGACACGGGCCAUACUCCUACGGGAGGCAGCAGUGGGGAAUUUUCCGCAAUGGGCGAAAGCCUGACGGAGCGACGCUGCGUUGAGGAUUGAAGGCCCUACGGGGUUGUAAACUCAUUUUGUGCAGGACGAGAGAGGACUGUACUGCAAGAAUAAGCCACGGCAAACUACGUGCCAGCAGCCGCGGU